rnacentral:tRNA from 1 species
GCCCCGGUGGUCUAGCGGUCUAUGAUCUCGGCCUGUCGAGCCGAGUGCUCGGGUUCGAAUCCCGACCGGGGCG